rnacentral:tRNA from 1 species
AUUAAGGUGUCUGAGAAAAGGUAGUAAACUGUAAAUUUACUUAUGAGUGAAAAUUAACUCUCUUAAUA